GAGCGUGCAGUAAGCACAAAGUGAACCAUUCUUUCGCCUUUUACUAAAGAAUACCGCGUGCUUGCCAUUUACAAGUGGCAUACACCUAUUUUUGGAGGGUUUCUCUUUCUAUGAGAGGAA